UUUGUUUAACAUAUUUUUUGUUAUUGAAAUAUGUAGAACAUACAUGCAAAAUGAAAGAUAAUAUUGUUGCAUCAAAUGAGAAGAUCAAGACAGACCAUAAAUAUUAUUGAUGAUUAAUUAUGCAUCACUUUAAUAUUCUUGUUUGAAGCCUGAGAAAACUAUUAUUUAAACUAACUUCCAGUAUAAGGACUAUUUUUAAGUAUGUUUUAUUAAGGCUAGAAAAUUAUAGCACUAGGUGGAGUGCAGACUUAAUUUCACAAAUAAUAUGGUUGUCUGUACUCUGUGUUCCCAAUUCUAUCAUAAUUGCAGUCUUUUUAGUUAAAGAUAAUUGCCUAGUUAAUUAGCUCAGUAAGAACUUUAAGCUUAUAUUUGUACCGCGCAUAACUGCUUGGUGGUGGUUAUAUAUUACAGCAGGACAACAGAGAAUCACAAAGAAACAAAACGGGGUUCCUUAUUAUCAUUUAUGUGAAGAUUUAAUCUUUUGUUUUUCUUGUAUUUGCAAUGAAAAUUUAUUUUUAAAAUG
rnacentral:lncRNA from 1 species